rnacentral:misc_RNA from 1 species
AGGGGCUAGAAUCUGUAUUAUGAUGUCUAUCAUAAUGAAAUGGGGACAGAAAGGGGAAAACUACAAAAUAAAAACUGAACAGGGGAAAAGACUUACGAUGCUUGAUAUAAGACUAUGCCUUUGAGCAGUUACUCUGUCGGCAUGGAUUUAUAGUUUCUCAUUAAUGAGGACCAACAUCUGUCAUUGAAUAUGGGUUUCAAAGAAUUCUAGUUUCUUACCAGCCAAAUAAGUCGGAAAAAUAAAUUUGGUACACUUCUUAAAGAUCCUGGGAUGCUAUAUGAACAUACAUUAAAUUUGUGUAGAUAGGGAUAAUGUGAAUAUACUGAAAUUUCCUAAAUUCAUGCAAAUCAACUUACGCUAAUAAAGCAUAUUUUUGUCAGCUAAACAAGGUCAUGUAUGGAUAAGAUGUGAAAUGUAGGGUGAUUUAUCAAGAAAAGAUGCUAAAUUUGAUUAUGUUGCUGACAAGAAUAUUUAAUUUGCUGUUAAUUUUAAGGACAUUGGUUUUGGUUCCUAGAAAUGUGUGUAUUAUAAUCUGUUAUGCCAGUGAGGGUGGCCAUGGGUGUAUUACAGUUUUCUUUUUUUGGAUAUUGAUUCAUUCAUUCUUUCUUUCAUCUUUGCCCCAAAAUUGUUGUUCUGAUUAUGUAUAUUCAACAGCUCUUUCCAAACCUUGACAAGGUGGUCUUCUUAGAUGAUGAU